UAAUACGGAGGGUGCAAGCGUUAAUCGGAAUUACUGGGCGUAAAGCGCACGCAGGCGGUUUGUUAAGUCAGAUAUGAAAUCCCCGGGCUCAACCUGGGAACUGCAUUUGAAACUGGCAAGCUAGAGUCUCGUAGAGGGGGGUAGAAUUCCAGGUGUAGCGGUGAAAUGCGUAGAGAUCUGGAGGAAUACCGGUGGCGAAGGCGGCCCCCUGGACGAAGACUGACGCUCAGGUGCGAAAGCGUGGGGAGCAAACAGGAUUAGAUACCCUGGUAGUCCACGCUGUAAACGAUGUCGAUUUGGAGGUUGUGCCCUUGAGGCGUGGCUUCCGGAGCUAACGCGUUAAAUCGACCGCCUGGGGAGUACGGCCGCAAGGUU
rnacentral:rRNA from 1 species